UAGGGAAUCUUCGGCAAUGGACGAAAGUCUGACCGAGCAACGCCGCGUGAGUGAAGAAGGUUUUCGGAUCGUAAAACUCUGUUGUUAGAGAAGAACAAGGACGUUAGUAACUGAACGUCCCCUGACGGUAUCUAACCAGAAAGCCACGGCUAACUACGUGCCAGCAGCCGCGGUAAUACGUAGGUGGCAAGCGUUGUCCGGAUUUAUUGGGCGUAAAGCGAGCGCAGGCGGUUUCUUAAGUCUGAUGUGAAAGCCCCCGGCUCAACCGGGGAGGGUCAUUAGAAUCUGGGUGACUUGAGUGCAGAAGGGGAGAGUGUAAUUCCGUGUGUAGCGGUGAAAUGCGUAGAUAUAUGGAGAAACACCAGUGGCGAAGGCGGCUCUCUGGUCUGUAACUGACGCUGAGGCUCGAAAGCGUGGGGAGCAAACAGG
rnacentral:rRNA from 1 species